GCGCAGCCCCGCGCCAGCUGCCGCCGCCGCCCCGCCCGCCCGCCGCGCACGGCACAGGCUCGCCCCGCCGGCGCGAUGGCCACCUGAUCGCCACCUAAUCGUCGCCGCCGCCGCAACUUUUCCUCCCUGCGCCGCGCCGCUGCUUCCCCCGUCGCUCCGGUGGAAGAUGGCAGUUGGGGGAAGCGCUAGAAGUUGCAGCCCGCGAGCGAAGAGAUAAGGCGGAGGAGCGGGAAGAUUCACCUCACUUCUGGAAGAAUCUCAAAAUCUGAACAACUUCUGCCACAGUUUGCUUUACUCUCUAACAAGAUACCAUUCUAUUAAGAACAAUGAGCUCCACAACACCAGAUGGGGUUUCUGGACGUGAACAGCUCUUGGCUCAGCAAAGAAUGCACAGUAUGAUCAGCUCAGUGGACGUGAAGUCGGAGGUUCCUGUGGGACUGGAGCCUAUCUCACCGCUGGACUUGCGGACCGAUCUCAGGAUGAUGGUUCCCAUGGUGGACCCCAUUAUGCGCGAGAAGCAGCUGCAGCAGGAGCUGCUCCUGAUCCAGCAGCAGCAGCAAAUUCAGAAACAACUGCUCAUUGCAGAGUUCCAGAAGCAGCAUGAAAACCUGACCCGCCAGCAUCAGGCCCAGCUCCAGGAGCACAUUAAGUUACAACAGGAACUCCUAGCCAUUAAACAACAGCAAGAACUCCUUGAAAAAGAGCAGAAACUGGAGCAGCAAAGACAAGAGCAGGAACUGGAGAGGCAUCGCAGGGAGCAGCAGCUUCCUCCCCUCCGAGGCAAAGAAAGAGGACGAGAAAGGGCAGUUGCCAGUACAGAAGUGAAGCAGAAACUUCAAGAGUUCCUGUUAAGUAAAUCAGCUACAAAAGACUCUACAGCAAACGGGAAGAAUCAUUCCAUGAGCCGCCACCCCAAGCUCUGGUACACGGCUGCCCACCAUACCUCACUGGAUCAAAGCUCUCCACCCCUGAGUGGGGCCUCGCCACCAUACAAAUACACUUUACCAGGAGCACAGGAUGCUAAGGAUGACUUUCCACUUCGUAAAACGGCUUCAGAACCCAAUUUGAAGGUACGUUCAAGAUUAAAACAAAAGGUGACAGAAAGGAGAAGCAGUCCUUUACUCAGGAGGAAGGAUGGAAAUGUCAGUUCAUUCAAGAAGCGUCUUUUCGAGGUGACAGAAUCCUCAGUCAGUAGCAGCUCCCCUGGAUCAGGUCCCAGUUCCCCAAGCAACGGUCCGACCAGCAGUGCAACAGAAAAUGAAACCUCAGUUUUGUCGUCUAACAUUCAAGCUGAGCACCUGGUUUCCCAGCAACGCCUUUUGAUACAGGAUGAAUCAGUGAACUUGUUGAGUCUGUACACAUCCCCCUCUCUGCCCAACAUCACCUUGGGACUUCCAGCAAUACAACCUCAGAUCAGUGCUUCAUCAUCAUUCAAAGAAAAGCAGAAGGGGGAGACCCCGUCACUUAGACAAGGAGUGGCCUUGGCUGGACAGUAUGGAGGGAACCUUCCUCCGUCGUCAACUCAUCCUCACAUUGCUUUGGAGGGAAAGCCAAACAGCAGCCACCAAGCUCUCUUGCAGCAUCUGUUACUGAAAGAACAAAUGAGACAGCAAAAACUUCUUGUGACUGGAGCGGUUCCUCUUCAUCCACAGUCUCCUUUAGCAGCAAAGGAGAGAGUCUCACCUGGCGUAAGAGCUUCCCACAAACUGCCUCGUCACAGGCCACUGAACAGAACCCAGUCAGCUCCUCUUCCUCAGAGUACUUUGGCUCAGCUGGUCAUCCAGCAGCAACAUCAGCAAUUUUUGGAGAAGCAGAAACAGUACCAGCAGCAGAUCCACAUGAAUAAGAUGCUCUCUAAGUCCAUUGAGCAGCUCAAGCAGCCUGGCAGUCACCUGGAGGAAGCUGAAGAAGAGCUUCACGGAGAUCACUCGAUGCAGGAAGAGCGAGCUCCCACCAGUGGUGCCAACGUUAGGGCUGAGAGCAGCAGUGCUGGUGUGGAUGACAGAAUAGGACAGCAGGUGGGGGCUGUGAAAGUCAAAGAGGAGCCACUGGACAGUGAUGAGGAUGUUCAAACCCAGCAAAUGGAAUCUGGGGAGCAAGCUGCUUUUAUGCAACAGGUAAUAGGCAAAGAUUUAGCUCCAGGAUUUGUAAUUAAGGUUAUUAUCUGA
rnacentral:lncRNA from 1 species